CUCAGUUGGUAGAGCAGAGGACUGAAAAUCCUCGCGU
rnacentral:tRNA from 1 species